GCGUGCUUAACACAUGCAAGUCGAACGAUGAUCUCCCGCUUGCGGGGGUGAUUAGUGGCGAACGGGUGAGUAAUACGUGAGUAACCUGCCCUUGACUCUGGGAUAAGCCUGGGAAACCGGGUCUAAUACUGGAUACGACCCCCUGUCGCAUGGUGGGGGGUGGAAAGGGUUUGACUGGUUUUGGAUGGGCUCACGGCCUAUCAGCUUGUUGGUGGGGUAAUGGCUCACCAAGGCGACGACGGGUAGCCGGCCUGAGAGGGUGACCGGCCACACUGGGACUGAGACACGGCCCAGACUCCUACGGGAGGCAGCAGUGGGGAAUAUUGCACAAUGGGCGGAAGCCUGAUGCAGCGACGCCGCGUGAGGGAUGACGGCCUUCGGGUUGUAAACCUCUUUCAGCAGGGAAGAAGCCACAAGUGACGGUACCUGCAGAAGAAGCGCCGGCUAACUACGUGCCAGCAGCCGCGGUAAUACGUAGGGCGCAAGCGUUGUCCGGAAUUAUUGGGCGUAAAGAGCUCGUAGGCGGUUUGUCGCGUCUGCUGUGAAAGCCCGGGGCUCACCCCGGGUCUGCAGUGGGUACGGGCAGACUAGAGUGCAGUAGGGGAGACUGGAAUUCCUGGUGUAGCGGUGAAAUGCGCAGAUAUCAGGAGGAACACCGAUGGCGAAGGCAGGUCUCUGGGCUGUUACUGACGCUGAGGAGCGAAAGCAUGGGGAGCGAACAGGAUUAGAUACCCUGGUAGUCCAUGCCGUAAACGUUGGGCACUAGGUGUGGGGGACAUUCCACGUUCUCCGCGCCGUAGCUAACGCAUUAAGUGCCCCGCCUGGGGAGUACGGCCGCAAGGCUAAAACUCAAAGGAAUUGACGGGGGCCCGCACAAGCGGCGGAGCAUGCGGAUUAAUUCGAUGCAACGCGAAGAACCUUACCAA
rnacentral:rRNA from 1 species